AAUAGCCUAACGGCUGAACCAGCAACUUGGAGGAAUGAAUAGCAAUAGCUAAUUACACAUACAUAUGAUGUAAUAUCGACUCCGUCGAAUAAAAUUCUGGCUAGAAUUAUGAUAAUGACAUUAUCUAGCUAUGUGUCUUGACUAAAUUACGUGCCAGCAGUCGCGGUAAUACGUAGAAGACUAGUGUUAUUCAUCUUUAAUAGGUUUAAAGGGUACCCAGACGGUAAAUCAAGCCUUAUACGGAACUAAUUUGCUAGAGUUACUUACGCGGGGGCUAUGAAGUACUAAUGGUGUAGAGAUAAAAUUUUGUAAUACCAUUUUUCGAAAGAAAAGUUAUGGCACUGGUAAAGGCGAAAGCAUCCCCUUAUGUGAUAACUGACGUUGAAGGACGAAGGCUUUGGGUCGCAAAUAGGAUUAGAUACCCUAGUAGUCAAAGGAGAAAAUUAUGAGUGUCAUAGAUUAGAAAUUAAGUUUUAUUCUAUAAAUGAAAGUGUAAGCACUCCACCUCAAGAGUAAUUUGGCAACAUUGGAACUGAAAUCAUUAGACCGUUUCUGAAACCAGUAGUGAAGUAUGUUGUUUAAUUUGAUGAUCCGCAAAAAACCUUACCACAGCUUGAAUAUUUAUAUUUUUCAUAUAUUUACAAGCGUUGCACGGCUGUCUUCAGUUAAUGUCGUGAGACUUUGGUUAGAUCCAUUAAAUUAACGUAAGCCCUUACUUUAUUUAUAAAUAAAGUCGUUCCCCACUAUAUUGGAUAUGAUAACAGGGACUAAGACAAGUCUUCAUGGCCUGAAUGCUGU
rnacentral:rRNA from 1 species